UGCAGCCAUGCCGCGUGUGUGAAGAAGGCCUUCGGGUUGUAAAGCACUUUCAGCGAGGAGGAAAGGGUGUAAGUUAAUACCUUACAUCUGUGACGUUACUCGCAGAAGAAGCACCGGCUAACUCCGUGCCAGCAGCCGCGGUAAUACGGAGGGUGCGAGCGUUAAUCGGAAUUACUGGGCGUAAAGCGUGCGCAGGCGGUUUGUUAAGCGAGAUGUGAAAGCCCCGGGCUCAACCUGGGAACCGCAUUUCGAACUGGCAAACUAGAGUCUUGUAGAGGGGGGUAGAAUUCCAGGUGUAGCGGUGAAAUGCGUAGAGAUCUGGAGGAAUACCGGUGGCGAAGGCGGCCCCCUGGACAAAGACUGACGCUCAGGCACGAAAGCGUGGGGAGCAAACAGGAUUAGAUACCCUGGUAGUCCACGCCGUAAACGAUGUCUACUCGGAGUUUGGUGUCUUGAACACUGGGCUCUCAAGCUAACGCAUUAAGUAGACCGCCUGGGGAGU
rnacentral:rRNA from 1 species